rnacentral:rRNA from 1 species
AUUGAACGCUGGCGGCAGGCCUAACACAUGCAAGUCGAACGGAGUGGCGGACGGGUGAGUAAUGUCUGGGAAACUUCCUGAUGGAGGGGGAUAACUACUGGAAACGGUAGCUAAUACCGCAUACUAUCAGAUGAGCCUAGGUCGGAUUAGCUAGUUGGUGGGGUAAAGGCCUACCAAGGCGACGAUCCGUAACUGGUCUGAGAGGAUGCUCAGUCACACUGGAGCUGAGACACGGACCAGACUCCUGCGGGAAGCAGUAGGGGGGAAUAUUGGACAAUGGGCGAAAGGCUGAUCCAGCCAUGCCGCGUGUGUGAAGAAGGUCUUCGGGUUGUAAAGCGCUUUUAGUUGGGAGGCGUUACCAACAGAAUAAGCACCGGCUAACUUCGUGCCAGCAGCGGGUAAUUC